UACGUAGGUGGCAAGCGUUGUCCGGAAUUAUUGGGCGUAAAGCGCGCGCAGGUGGUUUCUUAAGUCUGAUGUGAAAGCCCACGGCUCAACCGUGGAGGGUCAUUGGAAACUGGGGAACUUGAGUGCAGAAGAGGAAAGUGGAAUUCCAAGUGUAGCGGUGAAAUGCUUAGAGAUUUGGAGGAACACCAGUGGCGAAGGCGACUUUCUGGUCUGUAACUGACACUGAGGCGCGAAAGCGUGGGGAGCGAACAGG
rnacentral:rRNA from 1 species